rnacentral:lncRNA from 1 species
CAACCCUUCUUCUUGCCUCCCUACUUUACAAAGUCCAUCAAUCACGGUAUUAUAAAUGAUAACAUCAGCUUCGAUUGAAACACCGUCACUCCCUUUUCAUUUGCCGAGCUUGUUGUUUAACACUUCCAUUGCUUCAUCGACCCUCCGUAACUUACAUAGCUGAUUGAUAAGAAUCACAAAAGUUACAGCACUGGGCCGAAUAACAUUCUCCUUCAUGUCAGCUACAAGUGUAUGCAUUCUUUUAACAUCUCCAUUCCUCCCUUAGCCGGUCAAAAGUACAUCAAAAGGAUGAGUUUCGAGAGGCGCUCGCAGUGUCAGCAGUUCAUGCAAAACAUUCCAAGCUUGAUUGGUUUUGCCACUCCUACAUAACCUAGAAACCAAAUGGGGUAAGCCAAAUUAUCUUUGGGAAAAACACCAUGUUUCCCCAAUUUAAAAACCAAAUUAAUGGUAUAUUCCUAGCUUAAAUUUCUCUCCCCUUUCCUGUCUCCCUUCAAUAACUCGCUAAAAAUAAUAUAACCAGUGAUCUCAUCAGGUGGAACCUCAGACAAUGGUUAAAGCAUUUCUUCGAGCACAUUGAGCGCGUACUCAACACGUCCGUUUCUUAACAGACCAUCCAUAAAAACAUUGCGAACGUGCGUGUUUUUAACAGAAGGGUCGAGUUCUUUAAAAGGAAUAACAGAUUCAUCUACCAUUUUGUGUCUCCCAAAACCCCGGAUAAGAAUCGCGGCGGCAUUAACAGUCAGAGGGAUUCCCCAUUCUUUCGAAGCUUGAUACAGUUCGGAUGACCUCGACCCACCAUCGAGUUCUCGAUUCACUUGCUCGACGGGCGCUUGGAACGGAUGAGAGAGGAAACGAGUGUGUUGAGAUGGGGUGUUUUGUUGAAGGUGUUUGAAGAAAUUAAGGGCCAGACUAGAGGAACCGAGGCCACAAGUAAUUUUGUAGAGAAAACGAGGAGAUGGAGAAGGAGAAGAGGAGAGGAGAGAUUGCAGGGGUUAAUUAGAGGACCAUUGUUGGUGUGGGUUUUCGCGGAGGAGCUGAACUGCUUCGUUGAUUCUUGAUUCAUCGUCAUGCGGUGGUGGUUGGGGUCAGCUUUGGUGCAGAGGUGACGGUUGAGGAGGUAAGAUGCCGAUAAGGGUUUAAGGAGGAGUAGUUUUGAAUGCUUUGAAAGUUGAAACUAGAAUUGUAAUGUUCAUUUUUCCUUCUUUGUUUACGUUCAAAACUUCGAAUAUUUCACUGAAACUUAGACUUUUUAUAUAUAUUUGAAUAAUAUUUUCGAAGAUAUCUAA